AUUACAAUUAAAACACUUUUAUGUGGUUAAUCCAUUUACAGUAAGACUUCAGAUGGACUACGAUAAUACAGACCAAAAAAAAUCACUCAAUCUAACCACUACUCGUUAUGCUUUUGUAUGUAUGUCAAAAUAAAAUCGUUUAUGUGUGAGCAGCAUAACUAAGUAAAUAAUUAUUUCACAUUAUAAUUCACACACACAUUAUAUUUUCAAACUUCGAUAAUGAAUUUUGUGAACGUGCCAUACUUUAACAGAGACAUUGGACACUGUAAUAUGAAAUAUUUAUACAAUUACUCCAAGUGGGGAAGCAAGAGCCACGUUGUUGCGGGUAUAAGAGGUUACACGCCUUUUUUACCGGGAUUUUAAAAUCUUUGGUGAACGUAUUAAGCGGGCCACUCACGAUACUGCGUCGUCGUACUAUAGGAUCGUACGACGGUGUUGCACAAUUUAAUUGAAAAUUAUCUACGCAUAAAUGAACCAACUUACGUGGAAUUGAUGUCACUGGUAACUCCUUUGAUCCAAAAAGAAGACAUACUAAUAUGCCAAGCAAUAUCACUACAUUGCGGCUUUCGGCAACUUUAAGAUUUUUGGUAACUGGAAGGAACUAUGAAGAUUUACCACCGUCAUCUCCCCUCAAGCAUUAGGCAGAAUAAUACCUGUCAUGAUACAGUUCUUCGUCAGGAAUAUAUGAAGAAUGACGAACUAUAAAAGGAAAACAGAUAGAGGUACAACUAGUCAAGAAAGUUUAUGAAUCUGCUUCAGCAGAAGUCCUGCGGAAUAAACCGACCAUUCGUAAAUUCGUAUACACCAAAAAAAGUGUAACCGAAAUAUACGAACAGGCAAGUGAAGGAAAGUCGUCGAAAAUUACUUAAAAAGGGAAAGAUAAAGUGAAGAAAAAACUUUUUGUAUCCAAUUUGGAUUCUGACACUGAUGAAUAGUUUUAUUUAGUGUGUAGUUACAACAUAUCCAAAAAAAGAUUGGGUGGAAUGUUUAGAAUGCAAAAUAUGGGCCCAUAUCAAAAGUGUAACUGCAAGUUCAUUCAUACAUUUGCAUUAAUUGCAAUUCUGAUGAAUACUAAUUUGAUAUUAGUAUAUGAUAUUGCCAACUCUCUAUAAAUAUCUCUAUAAUAUAAAUGCCUUAAAAAAUGUUAGAAUACAAAGAAUUUUAGUGUGCUAAAGGUUUAUCCAAAUAAAUAUAAAUAAUUUAAUACAAGUUCUUAUUUUCAGACGAAGUUCAUGUGUUUUUAUAUAAGGUUUAAAAAGUUUCAACCCAAAUAGUAUUAUUUUUAAAAUUACGAAUUAGUUAUUAUAUUUAUUCUUAAUUAUUGUAAGAAGACUAUUUCAAGAGAUCGUUUUUGUUUAUAAUGUCGCCAAAUAUUAAAAUAUGAUUAAUCAUUGACGAUUUUGUUUACUAAUUUAACAUUACAUCUGGGGUAAGUUGUUAACCAUCGAUUUUUUGCUUAAAUUUCCCAUUUUGAAAAAAUAACAAUAAUU